CUGGCUCAGCAGAUAGUUAGGUUGCGGGUGCCGUUCGUAGCAUGGCGGUUCAGGGACCGUUAGGCAGCAGGUCACGCUGGUCGGGUAGUCCCGGGUGUCGGGUUGUGAGUGCCCGGGCGGCUGUUGCCCGGGCGCCCGGGCGGCUGGUGCUCCUGUUCGCCUCCGGGUGCGCGCGUGCCUGUUUGGUGGGUCGGUCUAGUUCGCUGGUGGGGCGGGUGGAGGGCGGUGUGCCCGUAGCGAGGUGUUGUGGUGUACUGGUGGUUUGGUCAGUUUCCGGCUCGGUUUCCCUUUGUGGUGCUUCGGCACAGACGUUUUCGGACAUGGGCCUCCGGGCCAAGACAUUGCGCGUCUGUGACGCCGACGAGAAAAUGUGUGGUGCUUGCGUUUGAUGGGGAUGUCGGCAGACCUCUGGCCUGUCGCGCCUUGUUGUGCGUCGGUGCUGCCGCCAAAAGACCUAAACGAGAUGAGGGGUGUUACGUGGCGGUGGGGCUUUGGCGGGCUUCGGCUUGGCUUCGACUCAUGUGCGUUACACUAUGAAGGUCGGCAGCCAACCGGGGGGCGGGUGUUGUUUCUCUGGGUCGCAGAUGGCCCUUCGCGGCGUGGGUACGGCGUUCCCCCUUGUCGGGCUGUCCCUUCAAUUGUAAUCCGCAUCCAUAGGCGAAGCGGGGUAGGUUAAGGGGCAGGUCGCGUAGUCCCGACAUGCGGGCGUUACGGUGGUGUGUUUGUGGUGUUACAAGGUGGUGUGCACGAUCUUUGCGUGCCUUGGAAACCGGAGGCCCGCGCCAUCAUGCAUUUUAUUGACGAGUGUUGCGGAACUAAUGCGUACUUAUACCAGAGCGGAAGGCGGAGUGGGCUUGCAGGCGGCACGAGAGUAGACAGUCAGUAGCGCAAGUUGCGAAAGCACAUGUUACCUCGUAACCGACGGUACACGCGGGGGAGCUAUGCAUUGGGUGUGUGAUGGGACAGGGUUCAAGGCAGGUUGGCGAGGUCCCGUAGGGUGCAGCCGAUGCAUUGGGUGUGAAUGGGUUGUGAAACCGCCGGGGCCCAGGGGUCAGGCUGGGGGUCAAGGGAAGAGCUGCACCGGGCUUCAUAUGUGUCGGUAGCCAACUGGGGGAGGGNNNNNNNNNNNNNNNNNNNNNNNNNNNNNNNNNNNNNNNNNNNNNNNNNNNNNNNNNNNNNNNNNNNNNNNNNNNNNNNNNNNNNNNNNNNNNNNNNNNNUCGUAGCAUGGCGUUUCAGGGACCGUUAGGCAGCAGGUCACGCUGGUCGGGUAGUCCCGGGUGUCGGGUUGUGAGUGCCCGGGCGGCUGUUGCCCGGGCGCCCGGGCGGCUGGUGCUCCUGUUCGCCUCCGGGUGCGCGCGUGCCUGUUUGGUGGGUCGGUCUAGUUCGCUGGUGGGGCGGGUGGAGGGCGGUGUGCCCGUAGCGAGGUGUUGUGGUGUACUGGUGGUUUGGUCAGUUUCCGGCUCGGUUUCCCUUUGUGGUGCUUCGGCACAGACGUUUUCGGACAUGGGCCUCCGGGCCAAGACAUUGCGCGUCUGUGACGCCGACGAGAAAAUGUGUGGUGCUUGCGUUUGAUGGGGAUGUCGGCAGACCUCUGGCCUGUCGCGCCUUGUUGUGCGUCGGUGCUGCCGCCAAAAGACCUAAACGAGAUGAGGGGUGUUACGUGGCGGUGGGGCUUUGGCGGGCUUCGGCUUGGCUUCGACUCAUGUGCGUUACACUAUGAAGGUCGGCAGCCAACCGGGGGGCGGGUGUUGUUUCUCUGGGUCGCAGAUGGCCCUUCGCGGCGUGGGUACGGCGUUCCCCCUUGUCGGGCUGUCCCUUCAAUUGUAAUCCGCAUCCAUAGGCGAAGCGGGGUAGGUUAAGGGGCAGGUCGCGUAGUCCCGACAUGCGGGCGUUACGGUGGUGUGUUUGUGGUGUUACAAGGAGGUACUCGAGGUUCCGCCCUCGAGCGUUUGGAACUGGCGAGCCUCCCGCUUGCGGGUGCAGCCUGAGCAUUCACGCGGCCGCAUGCACGCGAUUGCAGCACUGCGCGGACGGGUCGUCGUCG
rnacentral:lncRNA from 1 species